rnacentral:rRNA from 1 species
AUUGAACGCUGGCGGCAGGCCUAACACAUGCAAGUCGAGCGAGCGGCGGACGGGUGAGUAAUGUAUGGGGAAUGCGCGAUAGAGGGGGAUAACUAUUGGAAACGGUGGCUAAUACCGCCUAUUGCCGGAUAAUGCCUAUGGGAUUAGAUAGUAGGUAAGGUAAUGGCUUACCUAGGCGACGAUCCCUAGCUGGUCUGAGAGGAUGAUCAGCCACACUGGAACUGAGACACGGCCCAGACUCCUACGGAGGCAGCAGUGGGGAAUAUUGCACAAUGGGCGCAAGCCUGAUGCAGCCAUGCCGCGUGUAUGAAGAAGGCCCUAGGGUUGUAAAGUACUUUCAGUCGGGAGGCGUUACCGACAGAAGAAGCACCGGCUAACUCCGUGCCAGCAGCCGCGGUAAUUC